rnacentral:lncRNA from 1 species
CUUUACAAUAACUUGUAAUUGUGAUAACAACAGAAGAUAAAAGGUAUUUAUAUCUAAGUCUUGGUUUUUCUUGAUCUUUGUGUACGCAUUUUAUAAUAUUAAAAUAACUACAUGUAUAAAACAAGUGCCUAACAAGAUUGUGUGAGGUAGACGAAAUUGACCUUAAAACGAUCGCAUUGUCUUUUGAUGUCCAAAAAUAGGCAGAUCGUACAUAUAAGGAUCUUAUGACUACAUAAAUUUGGCAUUUAUUAUUAUUAUACUGAAUAUUCGAAUGAAACUGAAAAAUGUAUUUUUUUGUUAGGAUAAACAACAAUUUUACCUGGCGUAGCCGUGCGUAAAAUGUUUUUCUGCAUUUAUCGAAAAAUGGCGUUUUUAAUGGAAUAGAACGUAAAUACAGUAAACUUUCCCUUUUUUCUCCGCAAUAGGCUUCAAAAAUAUUUUAUCUAAUGUGAAUUCGAAAAAUUAUGUGAAAAUAUAUAAAAGUGGCAAUUGUUACCUUUCAUACCUUAAGUUUCAUUGAUAAAACGUAAUAUGGACUGGUCCAGUGUCCAGUAUGCAGGUCAUUUAAUUUACUGUACACAUUCACGCACGGUCUGAUUCAAUCAAUAUACUCGUACGAAAAGCAUGAACAGUUUGAAGGUAAUCAAAGUUGAAGAACUUAAUCCAAUCAAAUUGCAUAAGAUUCAAUAACAAUGUCCAGUCCACAUUAUAUUAAGUAAUAGGGGUAAACUGCGUAGAAAAAAAAAGACAGAUAUUUUAAGUUGAUAUUUAUGCAAUAACGAAUUAAAAUAUGUCGACCAAAAGUUUUGGUACAAUUUCAAAAAUUUAUCGUUCUGUAUUGGUAUAGUUUUCGGACCAUUCAUUGGCGUAUUUAAAGCUAUAAAAAGUUUGAGCUUCAAAAGUUCACACAAUUAUUGACUUUAUACAGAAAAUUCGUCCUUGUAAAACAUUUAAUAGUUCACAAAUAGUACGUGAUUUUAGAGUCAAAUUAUUUCUUAAAACACUGCAAAAAAUUUCAUUCAUAUUGAUAAAGUGGUAUCGUUAUAAAGUGCGUUGAAAUGAGCAGUGGUAUAGCAAACAUCGAAUUCCCUCACAAAAUGUUAUCACACACUAUAGGUAAAAUUGUUGUAUCUUACAUUUGUUUUGACUAUGCUUUAAUUUUUCUUACGAUUAGCCUCCAGUUAUUCUGUUUAUUCUUAUUGUAUUUUGUUUCUUUAAGGAUGUAUUCUUCUUGAAGUUCGAGUCUCGUUGAAAUCUCGUUCUGGAUUUUUUUUUGGGCUAAAACAUGUGAUACACGCGAAAUAUAUUGGUGACUUAAAAAAAUGUUAUAAUCAAAUUUCACUUUGUGAAAAAUAUAAUGUAUUAAACUUUACAAUAAUUCAAAUUUUAUAACCAAUCAAGUCAGUUUCAACAGCCAAAAUAUUGCGAAAAUGGGUAAAGGGUACAAGAAAUGAUUUUACAAGAAACAUGUACAUUCCAUAUCAUUUUUUUUUUUUCUUUUCAAAUUUCUUAGAUAUUGUUCAUUUUUAAUCAUUCAUACCAAAGAAAUUGAAAUUAAAGGCUUGUUUUUCUUAAAAAAAAGAGAGAAAAAUCACAAAGGAGUAGGUUCAGUAUGAUCCCUUUUUUGCCCCAAAUAUAGCAGUUUUGCAAACUUUAUAAAAUGUAAACUUUUAGAUAUUUAUGGGAAAGAAGAAUGCUUCUCAUCUGUCACAUAAAUAUGGGCUCUUUUUGGAAAUACAAUGCUUAUGUUUCGGGUACUACAAAUGUAGCUUCAUUAAGUCGUGCUAAAUUACAGAAAUCUUCACAAUUUUAGCAUUUGAGGUAAUUUUUAGACGGUUUCCGUCUUAAAUGGAAGUGGCCGCAUUUGUGUUCCUUCUUAAUAUCUAAAUGUAAGUUGUAUUUGAUGAUAAUAAAUAACAUAUAUAAAGAUUGAGGAUGAAAACGGAUGCGGUCACUUUCCUUUUUGACAAAAACCAAAUGAAAAGUGACAUAUUAGACAUACUGAUAGAUUUUUAAUAUUUAAGCUUGAAUUUGAACGCUUUUAAUGACUAAAUCAGUUCAAAUCUUUCACAGAAACUAAUUGAAUCUAAUAACGUAGACACUUAUUAAAAUAGAACGAAAUUCAUAACAGUGUGGUCAACAGUAAAACGUUUAUUAGUAAUUGUACUGAAAAGUUUACCUUUAACUUGUGUCGUGGGCGAUGAUUUUAUGCUCACUCAGUCUAUCGGAGCCUUCAAGUGGGGAUUUUAAAUAAUCAUGUGUUACAAAUUUGAUACAUAAAAGAACUUUUUUUUUACAAAUCAUUUAAGAAUUUAUUUUAAAUAAUUGUUUAGCAUCACUUACAACAGUUUCACUUUUAAGAAUAUUAAUGUCAGAGCUGAUAUCAAUAAAUAAUAAUAAAAAAAGUUAUUCAUGGUAAAAAAAAACAAAAAAACUUUUAAGUUAAUAGUGACCCGCGUUAUUUCAGAAAAUAUCUUAUUGAUUCGUUCAUUCAGAUAUUUUCUGUUUGCCUUGGCUCAUGAAGUCCAACACACAACUUCUCACGAAAUUGGUAUUUUUCUUACAAAAAUUAAUCGCAUGUGAUGUAUUCUUUUGAUGGAGAAUGAAUGUUGCACCUUAUUUUAUUUUUUGUCGUUUUUUUGGUGUGUGUAUCAUUGAUGUAUAAGACAACCUGACUCCCCUUUAUUCAAAUUUAAAAACAUACGAGAUGCCAUUCAUGGCAAAAUAACUAAAUUAAACUUACAGCAGAAGAAGGAUAAUGAACAUCGCUUUAAUAGUCUACUAAAUAUCGAAGACGCGUGGCUUUUUAAAAAUGAUGUAAAUUUAUAAAGGAAACACAAACAAAUAGUUCAAUAUUUAUAUUGGAAAAAGUAACGGUGUGUAAUAUCAAACAAUUAUUAUUUCAAUGAAAAUCAAACUGUUGAAUUUUUCCCGCUGCGAGCAAAUUUUAAUUUUGGUCGCAUUUUGAAAAUCAAUAAAUCUUGUAUUCUUGUUGGAAGCUGCACUGUGUAGUUUAUAUACCCGUUUUUUCAAUGCCACACAAAUUCAACAACAGACAAACAAGAAUGUGUCCACAGUCGGAUGCCCACUCAACUAUCAUUUCUAUGUUUAAAGGACUGUGAAAUUGGAAUAAAUUCUCUAAUUUUGGCAUUAAAAUUAGAUGAUCAAUUAGGGCACAUGUAGUACUAAGUUUCAAGUUGAUUGGACUUAAACUCAUCAAAAAACUACCUGACCAAACUUUAACCUGAGCCAAAAACUUUAACCUGAAAUUUGCACUAUCAUUUUCUAUGUUCAGUGAACCGUAAAAUUGGGGUCAAAACUCUAAUUUGGCAUUUAAAUUAGAAAGAUCAUAUCAUAGGGCACAUGUAUACUAAGUUUCAGUGAUUGGACUUCAACUUUCAAAAAACUACCUUUGAAGCCAAAAACUUUAACCUGAAAUUUGCACUAUCAUUUUUCUAUGUUCAGUGAACCGUAAAAUUGGGGUCAAAACCUAAUUUGGCAUUUAAAUUAGAAGAUCAUAUCAUAGGGCACAUGUAUACUAAGUUCAAGUUGAUUGGACUUCAACUUCAUCAAAAACUACCUGACCAAAAACUUUAACCUGAAGCCAAAAACUUUAACCUGAAAUUUGCACUAUCAUUUUCUAUCAGUGAACCGUAAAAUUGGGGUAAAAUCUCUAUUUUGGCAUUAAAAUUAGAAAGAUCAUAUCAUAGGGAACAUGUGUACCAAGUUUGAAGUCGAUUGGACUUCAACUUCAUCAAAAACUACCUCGACCAAAAACUUUAACCUGAAGCGGGACAGACGGACGAACGAACGGACGAACGAACGGACGAACGGACGCACAGACCAGAAAACAUAAUGCCCCUCUACUAUCGUAGGUGGGGCAUAAAAAUGGUAGGUUCAAGAAAUAAUUGAUGCAAACUAUACUUUAUUGUAGUUUUAACAUGGGUAGGCAUUAUAUUCGUGAUUAUUUUGCCCGAGUGAUAUCGAAAAACUAUUAUAAAAAGUGUCCUAGUUCAGUGAAAAUGUACGUCAUACUUAUUUCCUAAACAAAUAAAUAAAACAAACAUUAAUUAAUUAACAUACAACACUACCAAAGACCAGAGACUCCUUACUUGUAUGAUUUUGUAAAAAAAUGCAUCUUUUUAAAACAGUCGAAAACAAAAUUGUCUGUCCAAUGGAAAAGUCGAAGCCCAAAAAAGAUGAACAGUUGCAAAAGUUGACGACAAGAUCUAUUUUAUAACUUGAGUAUGGCCUAAUACUAUUAACCUGAAUAAUAUAUUUAUAGCAAUUCCCUUGAUACGAAAGAUUACAUGUUGCCUUGGGCUUUUUUUUUCUUUUUUUUUUUUUUUGCUCUUUGGUUGGGUUUUUGUCUCAAUGACAAUUCAAUUUUCAUUCUUAUUAUAGAUAUAACUGCAUGUUAAAAUAAGAAUAUGAAGUGUGAUAGACAAUCAGACCCAUUCUUUCCAGGGACCAACAGGCGUUAUCAAGCUAUAGGUCCCCGUAUGGCCUUCGACCAUUAGCAAAAUACACACUUUAUAGAAUGAAAGCUCCAAGAGUUUGGAUGAAAAAAAAAAAAACAAACAUAAAAGAUGAGCGAGAAAAAAAAAAUAGGGAUACCGCAUGGAAAUUGAAAAUGGUCCGCAACAUUAAUUAGUCAACUCACUUAGUUGAAAUUAAAGACCUGGCGAAUUUUAGCCUUUUGCAAUGGAUGUGAUGUAUGUUUAAAAAAAUCAUGGUUGUUUGGACAUUUUUAUAAAUCAAGUCUUGUUUUUAAAUUAUUUGCAAGUAAGUUUUAAGUCAUGAACAAUAAUCACUCACAGAAAAGACGUCAAAUCAUCAACAAAAGAAAAAAUUAAUAGACGCGCGACAACGCACAGAUAUCAUGUAUGUGUUCCGGACCAUACGAGUAUUUGGACCAUACGCAUAUAUCAUGACCAUAAGGGUAUACUAAUAUGGUCCAACCAUACACGUAUGGUCCAAAUACUCAUAAGGUCCGGACAUAUUUUAUUUGCGAUCACAAAUGCACGAAGACGUCCAUUUCUAUGUAAAUUGGGUCGAUUUUUUUAUAUAAAUAAGAUGAAUGCGUUUCUGUUGCCAAGUGUUUUUCACAAGUAUAGUAGCAGUAUAGCAGAACGGUUUAAGUUUCCUAUAUACACCAAAUGAUACAUUUUGCCAAUACAAAUAACGUAAAUGCAUGCAAUUCACAAGGUUUAAUCCAAAUAGCUUUCUUACUAUCCAAUAACUUUCAGUACGAAAAAGACAGGGCAGAAGUAUAUUUUGUCUUUAUGUUUCGUAUUUUGCACAACUUUUGAAAGUGGGAUUAUGCAUUCGUUCUAAAUAAAAUUAGACCAGAUAAAAGUUAAAAAGAUUACAUAACUCGACAAUCGCAAUUGUAAAUCCGAAAAAGAUAAUCAAUCAAUACAUGCAUUCAGUAAGUCAUUCUUUUUUCUGAAAGGACAUGGCUUUGCGAUAUCUUAUUAUGAAAAUUGAUUGUCGAAACAUAACAAAAACACAAGUAAAGGACGUUUAAUUAAUCAAUAUAAAUCAAAACACAAAUUCCUGAUUAGUAUUUCGAAUUAUUUUAUAUAGGCGUUGAGACCUUGGUGACCCACGGUUUAAAUGUUUAUAUUAAGGACGUCGUGAGCAAUGGGCGUAUAGACGAACGUUCACCUAAUCUGUCCAGUCAAUGGGAUAUUAAAGUGCGCCAAUCAAUGUCCAUAGCCACACUGUUAUGAAUUCGAUACUAAGUGUUUAAAAAGAGUAAAAAAUCUUUCAUUAGAUGAACUUGAAGUUUCAGGCCAAAAUCGGCCUUUAGCGGACCUACUCCUUUAAAAAAUUGACAGCAUGGUAAAUUUUAAACGAAAAUUCUAAAAAAAAUUAUAAAACUUUCUUCUUUUAACACCUAUCUAUAGUUUACUACAGUUAAAUUCAUUCAGAAAGGUCCCCCUCAUCUUUAGUGAAAGUAUAUAUAAAAAAGCUUAAUGGUGAAACUGAUUUUUUUUCAUGAUAAUAGCCCAAAUAGGUAAAAAUUAUUGAUAAAAAAAUGUGAAAAUCCUCAAAAUUGGUUCAUUUUAUAAUGUCUUGUGUAACACAUUUCUAUUGUUUGUAGUAGCAAAAUGUUCGUCUCAGGUUUAGUAGCUAUUGUAGCAACAAGUAUGGUUUUUGUCCAAUGUCAUAAUUGUAAAGAUUUUGACCUAUCGGCAUCUGACCAGUCUUUUCUAAUGAAGCAUUACCUCCGUACCUCCAGAAAAGAUGAGGGCCUUCCAAUAGGAAAUCCAGUACCCUCAGGUAUGA